UGGGGAAUAUUGGACAAUGGGCGAAAGCCUGAUCCAGCCAUGCCGCGUGUGUGAAGAAGGUCUUCGGAUUGUAAAGCACUUUAAGUUGGGAGGAAGGGCAGUAAGCGAAUACCUUGCUGUUUUGACGUUACCGACAGAAUAAGCACCGGCUAACUCUGUGCCAGCAGCCGCGGUAAUACAGAGGGUGCAAGCGUUAAUCGGAAUUACUGGGCGUAAAGCGCGCGUAGGUGGUUCGUUAAGUUGAAUGUGAAAGCCACGGGCUCAACCUGGGAACUGCAUCCAAAACUGGCGAGCUAGAGUAGGGCAGAGGGUGGUGGAAUUUCCUGUGUAGCGGUGAAAUGCGUAGAUAGAGGAAGGAACACCAGUGGCGAAGGCGACCACCUGGGCUCAUACUGACACUGAGGUGCGAAAGCGUGGGGAGCAAACAGG
rnacentral:rRNA from 1 species